GAAUGUCAGUUAUUGUGUGAAACUUGAAGAAAUAUGAAGAGCACACAGGGCGGCCGAAGGGGCACAUAACUAGUUGGAUCAUCAUAUGGGCUAGGAGUCUUGAUGAUUCUGAGUACCUUGUAAGGGGUAUGUAGUAUUUUUCUGACUUGUAAUUGAAUUUACAAGGAAACACGAAUCAGUUAUUUUCCUAUUUUCAUCUUCUGCAAAAAUCGCAGGAUGUAGAAAACUCAAUAAUUUGCAUGCCUCUUCCAGCCACAGCAAUUUGAUAAUGGUUCCUGGAUAGAAAUAAAGACAAGAAACGGAGGUGGGUCAAACUAAUGUAAUGAUGAGUUUCAUCGUGUAUGAAUUAAAUGUUCCACUAACCUGUCACAGGCUCUAGCAUCAAUGGCCUCUGGUUCUGGCACAGUAAUAAUCGAGUAAGCAUACUCAACCAACUUCCCC
rnacentral:lncRNA from 1 species